GGGAUCACAGCACCGGAGGGGCACGGGGAAGCCAACACUCCAGGUGGGCCACGCACACUCCCGGAAGCCCUCGUCCCCAGGGCCAGCAGGCCAGACCUCAUGGCGUACAGCAGUUACGUGCUAUCUGAAGAGGCAGCAGUCAUCCUGAAAUUUUGAGGUAGCAAGGACAGUAACAAAAAACGAUUUACUAAGGGAGGCCAAGUGCAAUGGUGACAGCCUGGGCCCCAGAUGCCACAGAUGAAUGGCUGAGCCAAUGCCAACAGAAGCCCGCCUCUAAACUGAAGGCAGAUAGGGCAACUGCCAUCAAAGAGGGACCGCGGCAACCAAGUGACCUCCAGAGCUGACUGCUCUCCGGAAGACUUGGCCUCACUUUCGCUCUCCACACAGUUACUUCUGUUGGAACAUUUGUUGAUGCCACCUCAUGAGGACAGUCAAGCAGACCUGCUAAGAGGCGCAUACAGCAAGGAACUGAGGUUUCUUGCCAUCACAUCAUGUGAGUGAGCCAUCUUGGAAGUGAAUCCUACAGCCCCAGUUGAGCCUUCA